rnacentral:rRNA from 1 species
GAUGAACGCUGGCGGCGUGCCUAAUACAUGCAAGUCGAGCGAACGGACGAGAAGCUUGCUUUUCUGAUGUUAGCGGCGGACGGGUGAGUAACACGUGGAUAACCUACCUAUAAGACUGGGAUAACUUCGGGAAACCGGAGCUAAUACCGGAUAAUAUUUUGAACCGCAUGGUUCAAAAGUGAAAGACGGUCUUGCUGUCACUUAUAGAUGGAUCCGCGCUGCAUUAGCUAGUUGGUAAGGUAACGGCUUACCAAGGCAACGAUGCAUAGCCGACCUGAGAGGGUGAUCGGCCACACUGGAACUGAGGCACGGUCCAGCCUCCUACGGGAAGCAGCAGUAGGGAAUCUUCCGCAAUGGGCGAAAGCCUGACGGAGCACCGCCGCGUGAGUGAUGAAGGUCUUCGGAUCGUAAAACUCUGUUAUUAGGGAAGAACAUAUGUGUAAGUAACUGUGCACAUCUUGACGGUACCUAAUCAGAAAGCCACGGCUAACUACGUG